GUGCUCACUUCAGCGGCACAGAUACUAAAAUUGGAAGGAUACAGAGAAGAUUAGCACUGGCCCCUGCAUAAGGAUGACACACAAAUUCUUGAAGCGUUCCAUAUUUAA
rnacentral:snRNA from 1 species